rnacentral:lncRNA from 1 species
AGCUUUGAAUCAAGUGGAGAAGCACUUCAAGGCUGGACAAAGUAAAGAUUAUUGUUAUUUUUUUUCUUUCUCUUCCUCUCUUUUAAGAAAGGAAAAUAUUCCAAGGACUAAUUUGGUCGUGUCUUCCUUCAUGUAAGUACCUCUGACAUUUUUCCAAAAGAAUAGAAAUAGCUUGUGUAUUGUCUCUGAAAUCUGCACCAAUCUCUUCCAGGCACUGGGUCUAUCUAUCCAACUCCUUUCUGGAAGGCUUAAGUUAAGGCUUGUUGUGCAUUCUUUUCUUUAGACUCUACGAUUUCCUUGUGUGUGUCUGAAAGUAACUUUUUAGAUAGUAGUAUCCGUUUGCCAUCUGCUAUUGAAUUCACAUCUGACUCUUCCUGUCACAUCAGUUUGUUUAAAGUUUCAAGAAGUUAGUUCCUGUCAUUAGCAUGUUUGAUAGGGUGGAGAACGUGGAUACUAGUGUAUUUUAGGAUUUCACAGACUGUUCUGUGACCUUGAAGUCGCUGUCUUAAAAUUUAGCUCUUAGUUCACUGUGGAAAGAUGUUCCUAUGAGUUACCCCAAAGACUGGUUUUCCCUGGGUUUGGAUUCUGAGCCACUAGUCCUUGGGAUGACUUUAAGCUAAAGCAGGGCUGUCUGCCAGAGGCCACCUUUUGUGCAUCCUCUUCCCUCAUCAAAGUGCAGGCUUGAAAGAGUUUAAUUGGUGGGGACCAGAAGCAGUUGCCCUGGCCAUGGUAGUCUGUGCAUUGCACAGUUCAUGUUUGCAUUUCAGCAUGUGCACUGUUGUUUAGAUCAAGGGAAAUAUUAAGCUAUUUAAAAACAAACAAAACUAAGUCACUUAGCCUGCCUUCUGUUUGGACUUUGGAUGAAAGUUACUAAACUAAGUGACAAAGUUGGCCGUAAAGGAAGUCUAUAGAGACGGAGCACAUUGCUUAUUGUAUUAUUGUGUAUUAUGCAAGUGUUUGAGUGCAAUGCUAAUGUGACUUCCUUUCCAGAGCAAGGCUACCAAUUCUUAAGGAAAUUGUUAUGUCUGAGCCAUUUUGUACUGUUCUAGAUGCUAUGGUUAUGAACCUUUUCCCUCACAUUUUUGAAAUGGAUGUGAUGUGUUCUGUAUAAAACAUUCAGGAUGUAAAUGCUGACAGUGUAUGUAGAAUCAGGCUGUUUGCCAGUUCUUUAACUGGUCCUUGGUGGAGAAUUGCUUUAAGACAAAGUGCAUUUUACUAUCGUUAAUGUGAUAGUAACUCUAAGGGUAACUGCCUUAUGAAAUGCUUCGUGACUAUAUGUGUUCUCUAAGUGCUGUAAAGAAAACUCCAGUCGCAUUUCCAUGCCUUUCCAGAAGAGUGGCCCGGCUCCCUCCACAGGCACCUUGCAAUGGAAUUGUGUUGCAGAGUAAAAACGUUUGUGUGGGGCAUAGUAAUCCCCCUCCCCUAGAGAUUUGCUGGGACUUGAAAUGUGACCACCUGUGAGCCACACUUAACCUUGAAGCCAUACCGAUUUUCAAUUUAUAGAUAAAAUUUCUCAUUUAAUUUAAAAAAUAAUGUCAGUUUGGCUAGUCUUAAAAGUAGUUCAAUAUGUAUAAGUAUGGCACCAAUGGUAUGCUUGUGCAGCUAUUGAGUCAAUUACAAAAAUGCAGGCAAUAAACCACGUUAUUAUCAUCUAGUAUAAGCAUAUUAAUUAUUGAAUUUAAAAGUAGCCCUAAAGCAAGUGCAUGGCAGGUAAAAUGAGUUGUCCUUAAGUCCCAUCACAAGUGGGAAAAAAAUUCCUGAAAUCAAUGAGGUUUUGUACUAUUUAAAGGAUAAUACAUUUAAUCCUGUAUCGGAUUCUGAUCUUUACUCUAAAAGUAUUCAUUGAUGCAUACUUAACAU